rnacentral:tRNA from 1 species
GCCCGGGUAGCUCAGUGGUAGAGCAGGGGAUUGAAAAUCCCCGUGUCGGUGGUUCGAUCCCGCCCCCGGGCACCA